rnacentral:rRNA from 1 species
GACAGAGGUCCCGAGCGUUAGGCGGAAUCACUGGGCUUAAAGCGUGUGUAGGCGGAGUGCUAAGUACCUUGUGAAACUCCCACGGCUCAACCGUGGAACUGCUUGGUAUACUGGUUCUCUUGAGCCACCUAGGGGCAACCGGAACAAACGGUGGAGCGGUGAAAUGCGUAGAUGAUCGUUGGAACGCCAAUGGUGAAAACAGGGUUGCUGGGGGUGUGCUGACGCUGAGACACGGAAAGCCCAGGGGAGCAAACGGG